AGGUCCACAGCCUUGCUUUAAGAAAUCUUAAGUCAUAAGUCGAAAGAGAUUAAGUGAUAAUAAUUUCUUUAAAAUUUUCGCGCA